rnacentral:rRNA from 1 species
GGGAAUAUUGGACAAUGGGGGGAACCCUGAUCCAGCGACGCCGCGUGAGUGAAGAAGUAUUUCGGUAUGUAAAGCUCUAUCAGCAGGGAAGAAAGAAAUGACGGUACCUGACUAAGAAGCCCCGGCUAACUACGUGCCAGCAGCCGCGGUAAUACGUAGGGGGCAAGCGUUAUCCGGAUUUACUGGGUGUAAAGGGAGCGUAGACGGUUAUGCAAGUCUGGAGUGAAAGCCCGGGGCUCAACCCCGGGACUGCUUUGGAAACUGUAAAACUGGAGUGCAGGAGAGGCAGGCGGAAUUCCUAGUGUAGCGGUGAAAUGCGUAGAUAUUAGGAGGAACACCAGUGGCGAAGGCGGCCUGCUGGACUGUAACUGACGUUGAGGCUCGAAGGCGUGGGGAGCAAACAGGA